rnacentral:rRNA from 1 species
GACGAACCGUGCGAGCGUUGUUCGGAUUCACUGGGCUUAAAGGGCGCGUAGGCGGGUUGUCAAGUCAGGGGUGAAAUCUUUCGGCUCAACCGGAAAACAGCUUCUGAUACUGGCAGCCUGGAGGGAGGUAGGGGCAGAUGGAACUUCCGGUGGAGCGGUGAAAUGCGUAGAUAUCGGAAGGAACGCCGGUGGCGAAAGCGAUCUGCUGGACCUCUUCUGACGCUGAUGCGCGAAAGCCAGGGGAGCAAACGGG